rnacentral:hammerhead_ribozyme from 1 species
AUCUAGAUGAAGAGUCCUGAAUAGGAUGAAACGCGCAUCGAGCUGGAU